GUACCCCUGCUCUGUUGGUGAUCUGCGAAGUAUUGAGCCAACUCGCACGAAAAGGGUAGCCUCGAAGUUGAAUCAUGGGACUCUUUAUUGAGUCCCAGCCGUCAACGGGGGCAUUGCCCACCUAAUUCAAUUAGGUUUAAUCAUUUCGUUGACACGGCAGCGCGGGGGUUUU
rnacentral:other from 1 species